AAAUUUCCCCCAUUUAAAAAAGUGUGGUAAAACAUACACAACAUAAUAUUUACCACCUUAAUUAUUAAGUGGAUAGUUCAGUGACAUUAAAUACAUUCAUGCUAUUGAGCAACCACCCAUCUCCAAAACCUUUCAUCUUGUAAAACAAACUCUGUACUCACUAAAUGUUAACUCUCUGUCCUUUCUUUCCCCAGGUCCUGUCAACCACCAUUCUACUUUCUGUCUCUACCUUGAUGGACUGCUGGUAACUGAAACUGUGGAAAGUGAAACUGUAUAAAAGGCAGGUAGUACAGAGGACACGAACGAAGAAACAGACCUGCUUUGGCCACUGAGGAGUCUCAAGCAAAUGACAUGACCUCUUUUACCUGCAGUUUUCCAGUCUGUAAAAUGGGGAUUGUAAUUUUUUCAUUUAUUCAACAAAUAUUUUACUAGCAUCUCCUGGCACAUCUCCUAUGUGACAGGUGUUGUUCUACCCACUUCAU
rnacentral:lncRNA from 13 species